CUUUGCUGACGAGUGGCGGACGGGUGAGUAAUGUCUGGGAAACUGCCUGAUGGAGGGGGAUAACUACUGGAAACGGUGGCUAAUACCGCAUAACGUCGCAAGACCAAAGAGGGGGACCUUCGGGCCUCUUGCCAUCAGAUGUGCCCAGAUGGGAUUAGCUAGUUGGUGAGGUAACGGCUCACCAAGGCGACGAUCCCUAGCUGGUCUGAGAGGAUGACCAGCCACACUGGAACUGAGACACGGUCCAGACUCCUACGGGAGGCAGCAGUGGGGAAUAUUGCACAAUGGGCGCAAGCCUGAUGCAGCCAUGCCGCGUGUAUGAAGAAGGCCUUCGGGUUGUAAAGUACUUUCAGCGGGGAGGAAGGUGUUGUGGUUAAUAACCGCAGCAAUUGACGUUACCCGCAGAAGAAGCACCGGCUAACUCCGUGCCAGCAGCCGCGGUAAUACGGAGGGUGCAAGCGUUAAUCGGAAUUACUGGGCGUAAAGCGCACGCAGGCGGUCUGUCAAGUCGGAUGUGAAAUCCCCGGGCUCAACCUGGGAACUGCAUUCGAAACUGGCAGGCUUGAGUCUUGUAGAGGGGGGUAGAAUUCCAGGUGUAGCGGUGAAAUGCGUAGAGAUCUGGAGGAAUACCGGUGGCGAAGGCGGCCCCCUGGACAAAGACUGACGCUCAGGUGCGAAAGCGUGGGGAGCAAACAGGAUUAGAUACCCUGGUAGUCCACGCCGUAAACGAUGUCUACUUGGAGGUUGUGCCCUUGAGGCGUGGCUUCCGGAGCUAACGCGUUAAGUAGACCGCCUGGGGAGUACGGCCGCAAGGUUAAAACUCAAAUGAAUUGACGGGGGCCCGCACAAGCGGUGGAGCAUGUGGUUUAAUUCGAUGCAACGCGAAGAACCUUACCUGGUCUUGACAUCCACAGAAGAAUCCAGAGAUGGAUUUGUGCCUUCGGGAACUGUGAGACAGGUGCUGCAUGGCUGUCGUCAGCUCGUGUUGUGAAAUGUUGGGUUAAGUCCCGCAACGAGCGCAACCCUUAUCCUUUGUUGCCAGCGGUCCGGCCGGGAACUCAAAGGAGACUGCCAGUGAUAAACUGGAGGAAGGUGGGGAUGACGUCAAGUCAUCAUGGCCCUUACGACCAGGGCUACACACGUGCUACAAUGGCGCAUACAAAGAGAAGCGACCUCGCGAGAGCAAGCGGACCUCAUAAAGUGCGUCGUAGUCCGGAUUGGAGUCUGCAACUCGACUCCAUGAAGUCGGAAUCGCUAGUAAUCGUGGAUCAGAAUGCCACGGUGAAUACGUUCCCGGGCCUUGUACACACCGCCCGUCACACCAUGGGAGUGGGUUGCAAAAGAAGUAGGUAGCUUAACCUUCGGGAGGGCGCUUACCACUUUGUGAUUCAUGACUGGGGUGAAGUCGUAACAAGGUAACCGUAGGGGAACCUGCGGUUGGAUCACCUCCUUA
rnacentral:rRNA from 1 species